AUGACCUUCAUCAUCAUCUUCAUCUGGACUCUCACAGCGUUUGCUCAAGAGUGUAGAGGACAGAUCACCGUCACUCAGAGUCCCUCAAUGACAGCAGCUCAACCAGGACAAACUGUGAACAUCAACUGUAAAACCAGCAGUAGAGUGCAUGGUGGUUAUUAUUUAGCCUGGUACUUUCAGAAACCUGGAGAAGCUCCUAAACUCCUGAUUUAUGAAACAAACACCCGUCAGUCAGGAACUCCACCUAGAUUCAGUGGCAGUGGAUCUAACAGUGAUUUCACUCUGACCAUCAGUGGAGUCCAGACUGAAGAUGUUGAACAUUAUUACUGUCAGAGUUUCCAUUGCAGAACAGGUUCUUAUAAUCAAUGUGUGGGUGACUAUGUGUUCACACAGUGAUGAA